UACAUUCCCAUAACAGAGCUUUUAUCAGCUAUUAAACCAACACAAUAUUUGAUCUUGCCACAUAUUUAACAAGAGGGUUUAUCCAGGAAAAAUGGCACCGAGCAAUUAACAGUGUCCCCAGUGUUUAAACACAGAUAGUCCAGUCUCACAGGAGACUGAAUACUGACUCACAGGUCAUAGAAGGAACAGCUUUGUUAAGGGUGUAGAUAAGCAUCAUACGAGGAGAGAUUUCUCAGAGUGAGUAUCUGAUGAGGAAGGACAGGGUGUACAUCUCUGCAUAAGCUUUUCCCAGCCACUUCUUUUCUCUUAAAUCAUGGUCAAUAUGUUCCAAGUCCCAGCACACCAUGUACUUGACUUUUUCUGCCUCAAAAGAAAAGACGCAGGAAUGUGUGUCAGAAACAUGAGUAGACCUGUUACCUGUCUCUGUCGUGACUCUGGAGUCCUUGGACCUCAUGAGGUGUGAGACUGGGAAACGCUGAGGGACUUCAGUGGUCACAGAUCUGAAACCAAAGGUCCCCUGAAACCAAGGAGUUACUCUGUCACACUGCUCAAGGGCACCCAAGUUGUGGCCAUGUCUCAGGAUCUGGGGUGGAGAGGGCAUGGUGAAGAGGUGAAUAUGAUUGAUAGAUGAAGUGUGGUCGAAAGCAUCAAUGUAAGGAAAGGCUCUUGCUGGUUUCUUGUGUUUCGUAGGGUGUGUUCAUUGGUGGAAAGAAACCAAGUUCAUGCGGAGCACUAUUCAUAUCCUUUACUGCUCUGGUCUUGACAACUGCAUUAUUUUAUUGUGCCUGCUGCACCUACUGCUAAGAUGGUGAGAACUGUAAAAGGUGAUGGGACCUUCCAUAUAAAGUGCUCUUAUGAGCCACAGGUUUUUGUCACUGCCACAGUGGCACUGCAAAACACAGAGAAUGAGAGACAAUCCACCAAUACAAGCCCAUCUGCUCACUGUGUAUGCUAGCAAAGUUCAUCCUCAGCACUGGCUAAGAGGAAAAAAGCAAGGAAUCCUGAAAUCACAUGUGUGGUCCCACAGGGAAAUUUUCUAGGAGGACUUUUGUAGAGGCAAUAUUCACCUUUACCAAAAAUGCAAUCACUCUCACCUGCAGAGUCUGAGUGAAAGGGGAAAAACAGUUGGUGGCUGUUGAAACUCUUUGACUUCACAUGUAAAGGACAUCUUAAGACAACUUCUUCUCCAUCACAACCACAGAAGAAGUUCUCUCAAGGCUGAUGCUAGCUGGAAGGAAAAUAGCCUUUGAACUUGGAGCAGGCUGAUCCCACAGAGGCUCUUCUGGUUGGUGCUGUCCCCUGCCUCUUGCCAGGCCUGCACUGGGAGGCCAGAACUGCAGGGGCCUGGGACCUGUUGGAGCUGCAGGAGUUCAACUGCUCUGGGGUCUUGGAAGCAAGUUCAUCAGCUAUGACUGAAACAAGACAAUAAACCCAGGCUAGAGCAGCUGUAGUAGACAGAUUCCCAUCUACCUCACAUCCCAACAGCAGAUAUGUGGAGUGGAAACACAGUAUUAGUGUACUGAGCUACAGGAAUGUUUGGCUGUCCGGGCUAGCAAAGGUAACGCUGUCUUUCCACCAACCCUGACACCCGCCUUCCCUCCUCAGUGUCUGGUAUUGCGGUGUAGAAUGUGCCAGCAGCAAAGCAACCAAACUUUCUGCCUUUUCCACCAAAACAGGUGGGAAAAGGAGAGUCUCGUACUUGGAGACACGCAAAAGCCAUCCGGGCACGGUCCUGGGAAACUGGCCCUAGGUGGCCCUGCUUGAGCGGGGGGGGCCUACCAGGUGACCUCCAGAGGUCCUGCCAACCUCAACACCCACAAAGGAUCUUCACACUGUGCAGUUAAGUGAGACCUUCAAUGCCAUCAGCUUGCUACAAGCGUGAAUAAGCCACAGGCUGGUCAGGUAGGACAUGCUGCAGUUCCCCCCACAGCAGGACAUGCUCUUGAUUUAAGUUUGAAACCUGUUGCCUCUGCAUCCAAAGAACACUACUGGGGCCCUGCCUGUGAACACUAAGUCGCUGCCAAGGUUUCAGACUCCACGUAUGCAUUCUUUACAUCUCCUUGUCAGGCUGCAACCAUGUGCAAAUCCAGACUGCAGCAGUUCAAGGUCGUCUUUUUUAAUAAACUCCUAGUCUGUUUUUAUUGAUGACGGCUUUUUGGUUUUUUAAGGUGUGGGGCUGAGGGACUGAAUCAAAUGAAUGUAACGAAACAAAACAAACAAAAAAAGCCUAUUCUCAGGGCCAGUGAGUUGCAAAUAAUUUUUAAAAUGCCUGUAAUUACAUCAUCUCAAUAAAAAAAAUUUAAUAUAAAAGUGGGAA
ensembl:lncRNA